GUCGAAGGAGAGUGGACGCGGUACACUUACAGCAAGUGUUCGCAGUGUGGCGGCGGCGGUACAUCGACGGGUAACCCGCCCACUUUGCCUGCCUGCAGGGCGCUACGUGCACAGGUGACAGUACGAUCACUAUCGACUGCAACCUGCCGUGUGGGGGCGGACCGGCAGACCAAAUACAGAAGUUGCUGAUCCUACUGCCGAAUGGAAGAAUAAAGAGAAUAAAGUUCUGCAGGCUAGGGUGCGGCAACGGAUUUGCAUACAGUGUCCUGUUACGCACGUGCGUUCCCAUCUAGCAGAGAGAUAGACUGUAACCAAGCGCCUGGUGUAAGCUUACGAUGGCACGUUGUUGACGGAUUUUAAUCACCGAUGAUUGAAUAUAUAGUCAGAUGAAAAUGUGCCGAGGGAACGUAGCAUGAUGACGUCACUUCGUUUACGCGUCGAUGUAGUGUAUAACCGGUUGAAGGUUACAUGUUAUAUUAUAUUAUCUUUCUUCUUACCAAGCUAGCUCCCAGUUGCUUAUCAUAUUAUUACAUAAGACUUGAGAUGAUGAUGAUUUACUUGCAAUAGUAUUGUGGAAUGUUGUCAGCCAUGUUAUUCGGAUAGUUUACUUUGAAUGUAAACGGCAAAUGAACUCCAUUUAUAGAGACAAACGGAUAAUGAUAAGUUGACACUGAUUGCUCAAUAAUUAAUAAAAAAAAUACACAUAAGGCUAACAAGAGACAAAAUUUACGUAUAUCUCCAUACAAUAAGAAUGCUUUAUAUUAGUUUAUUAUAUCAUCGGAUAUGAAAUCAAUAUAUAUAUCGAGUCAAAGCGAUAAUAAUACGUUGACGAUAAAUGGCCAAUGAUUAAUAAUAACAUGUAUAGGGCCAACGAUGGACACAAUUUACGCAUAUUUCUAAAUAAAAAUGCUGCUUAAAUUAACCGUGCGAUUGCGGCUAUCGAUUUAUGUUUCUUCUCGUAAAAUCA